rnacentral:rRNA from 1 species
AUUGAACGCUGGCGGCAUGCCUUACACAUGCAAGUCGAACGGCAGCACGGGAUCAAUCCUGGUGGCGAGUGGCGAACGGGUGAGUAAAGUAUCGGAACGUGCCCAGUCGUGGGGGAUAACGUAGCGAAAGUUACGCUAAUACCGCAUACGAUCUAUGGAUGAAAGCGGGGGAUCGCAAGACCUCGCGCGAUUGGAGCGGCCGAUAUCAGAUUAGGUAGUUGGUGGGGUAAAGGCUCACCAAGCCGACGAUCUGUAGCUGGUCUGAGAGGACGACCGGCCACACUGGGGCUGAGACACGGCCGAGACUCCUACGGGAGGCAGCAGUGGGAAAUUUUGGACAAUGGGCGAAAGCCUGAUCCAGCCAUGCCGCGUGCAGGAUGAAGGCCUUCGGGUUGUAAACUGCUUUUGUACGGAACGAAAAGGUUUGGCCUAAUAAGCUGAGCUCAUGACGGUACCGUAAGAAUAAGCACCGGCUAACUACGUGCCAGCAGCCGCCGUAA